rnacentral:rRNA from 1 species
UACGUAGGGGGCUAGCGUUGUCCGGAAUCAUUGGGCGUAAAGAGCGUGUAGGCGGCCCGGUAAGUCCGCUGUGAAAGUCGGGGGCUCAACCCUCGAAUGCCGGUGGAUACUGUCGGGCUAGAGUGCGGAAGAGGUAAGUGGAACUGCGAGUGUAGAGGUGAAAUUCGUAGAUAUUCGCAAGAACACCAGUGGCGAAGGCGGCUUACUGGUCCGGUUCUGACGCUGAGGCGCGAAAGCGUGGGGAGCAAACAGG